rnacentral:misc_RNA from 1 species
AAGUCGUAACAAGGUUUCCGUAGGUGAACCUGCGGAAGGAUCAUUAUCGAGUGCCGGGCGCAAGCCCGUACCCGCACCCAGUGUCGACUCUCUCUGUUGCUUCGGCGCGCACGCCCCGGCGGCCGCCGAAGGACCCAACCAAACGCAUGGCAAACCGGUCCGUCCGAGGAUACGCAAAUCAGUCAAAACUUUCAACAACGGAUCUCUUGGUUCGG